AAGUUUCAUCUGUCUGCUUUUUUAUUUGUGAAACCAAAAAUAACACCAUCGUUAUUUUUUUCUCCGACCUUUUCUUUCCGGUUGGAUUUUGGUUCUAAUUCCUCUUAUGAUGUUUAGCUUCCAUCUUACUCGUUACAUCUGAAUUCAGCAGAAUGUGCCUGCACACGUCCAUCUAUUCCAAGGAAAACAAUAGAAAAUUCUUUAAUUUGAUUAAAAAUCUCUGUGUAAGUGAUUAGAAGGUUUUGUGGAGCGGUGAUACGUGGAUGAUAUGAAUGUUUCCUUCUGCAGAAAUGAUUUAUCAUGGCAGUUUAACCUUAUCAAAAUUUGAGGAGGAAUCAUUCAUGAAAAAGGUAAUU